CUCGCCCAAGUACUCUAGCCUCUCUCUUUGCUCAAGAUCCUGGUACAUGCCCUUAGGAACCUUGCUCAGGCCGUACACCAGCCCAUAGAGGCAGCCAGCAAUAGAUCCCGUCGCUGCACUUUCUCCUCCGUGGAACAUGGAGCGGUUGCAGAGCUCUGUCCAGUCCCCGCCGCACCCCAGCAGGGCAUCGUAGGCAAUCAUUGGGGCAUCGUGGCCUCGUCUCCCGCCCCGACCUUCAGAACUCCAUCUGCGGUAUGUCUUUUCUCUCUCCUCUGCAUCAUAGUUGUCUGGAAAGACAGCUUUGUUCUGGUUCUCCUCAUUGAUUUCUCUCUCCUCCAGGUAAAACUGCCACUUGGCUUCAAAGUAAAACCAGUGCUCCUGAUAUUCUGCCAUGUGACGAAUGGUCUUCUUACAGUAUUCCUCUGCCAUUGGCACAACCUUCAUCAUUUCUCUUCCCCACUGCACCAGGGGCUUCCCUUGUAUUGCAUAUGCCACAAAGAGAGCUGUGCAUAGGGAGCCUAGAAAGCCUGUAGGGUGGUUGUGAGUCAUUCGUCCACACUCAAUGCUCACUUCAAUGAGUGACUCCAGCCUCUCUGGCUUCCAGUAACGCAUCCCUAAGCACAUUGCUUUUGUAGAUGCUCCAAAACCAGAACCCUUUUCAUUGAAUGGAGUGUGCCAUGCCAGAAGGUAGUUAUCUGGCUUCAGCUCCCGGCAGCCCUCGAUGGUUGCAGGGUCUGGCCUCCUCCCCGAGAGCUUGUCCACAGCAUCCACGUAGCGCUUCACCAGCUCACGGUACAGGUCCUCCAAACACCAGUAAUCUGUGAUGACAGCCUCUGCUGUAGCCAUGUGCAUGAGCGUGUUGUCACUUACUGGCCAUUUGUCUGGGGAGAGCACCAGGUUCUCCAGCCCUCCGAUUUCCUUCAGCUCCUGCUGGAUUUUUGCACCUAAAGCAUUGUCCUGUCGGGAGAAAUUUCUGUAACCAAGAGCAUCCCCUACCCCGGCCAGUACAAGUGCAGCCUUAAAUUUAUCCAUCCCGAGACACUUCUCACUCUCCACAGCCACCGGAUCUGGAUCUUCCUUUGUUCCUUUGCCUUCAGCUCAGCUCCUCUGACACUUUAUAUCAGC
rnacentral:lncRNA from 1 species